UGGGGAAUUUUGGACAAUGGACGAAAGUCUGAUCCAGCCAUGCCGCGUGCGGGAAGAAGGCCUUCGGGUUGUAAACCGCUUUUGUCAGGGAAGAAAUCCUUUGAGCUAAUACCUCGGGGGGAUGACGGUACCUGAAGAAUAAGCACCGGCUAACUACGUGCCAGCAGCCGCGGUAAUACGUAGGGUGCAAGCGUUAAUCGGAAUUACUGGGCGUAAAGCGUGCGCAGGCGGUUAUGUAAGACAGAGGUGAAAUCCCCGGGCUCAACCUGGGAACUGCCUUUGUGACUGCAUAGCUUGAGUGCGGCAGAGGGGGAUGGAAUUCCGCGUGUAGCAGUGAAAUGCGUAGAUAUGCGGAGGAACACCGAUGGCGAAGGCAAUCCCCUGGGCCUGCACUGACGCUCAUGCACGAAAGCGUGGGGAGCAAACAGGAUUAGAUACCCUGGUAGUCCACGCCCUAAACGAUGUCAACUGGUUGUUGGGAAGGUUCCUUCUCAGUAACGUAGCUAACGCGUGAAGUUGACCGCCUGGGGAGUACGGCCGCAAGGUUG
rnacentral:rRNA from 1 species